rnacentral:rRNA from 2 species
AUGAUCCGGUGCUUGCACCGGGGAUUAGUGGCGAACGGGUGAGUAACACGUGAGUAACCUGCCCUUAACUCUGGGAUAAGCCUGGGAAACUGGGUCUAAUACCGGAUAUGACUGAUCAUCGCAUGGUGGUUGGUGGAAAGCUUUUUGUGGUUUUGGAUGGACUCGCGGCCUAUCAGCUUGUUGGUGAGGUAAUGGCUUACCAAGGCGACGACGGGUAGCCGGCCUGAGAGGGUGACCGGCCACACUGGGACUGAGACACGGCCCAGACUCCUACGGGAGGCAGCAGUGGGGAAUAUUGCACAAUGGGCGCAAGCCUGAUGCAGCGACGCCGCGUGAGGGAUGACGGCCUUCGGGUUGUAAACCUCUUUCAGUAGGGAAGAAGCGAAAGUGACGGUACCUGCAGAAGAAGCGCCGGCUAACUACGUGCCAGCAGCCGCGGUAAUACGUAGGGCGCAAGCGUUAUCCGGAAUUAUUGGGCGUAAAGAGCUCGUAGGCGGUUUGUCGCGUCUGCCGUGAAAGUCCGGGGCUCAACUCCGGAUCUGCGGUGGGUACGGGCAGACUAGAGUGAUGUAGGGGAGACUGGAAUUCCUGGUGUAGCGGUGAAAUGCGCAGAUAUCAGGAGGAACACCGAUGGCGAAGGCAGGUCUCUGGGCAUUAACUGACGCUGAGGAGCGAAAGCAUGGGGAGCGAACAGGAUUAGAUACCCUGGUAGUCCAUGCCGUAAACGUUGGGCACUAGGUGUGGGGGACAUUCCACGUUUUCCGCGCCGUAGCUAACGCAUUAAGUGCCCCGCC